UUAUCCCUGAGGGCUUUAUUCCUAGGAAAAGCUGUCAGAGAAAGACUGGCAUGUUUAAUUCUUUCAAAUCUGUUGAGAAAAUGGAAUGGUUUUGAAAAUUUACAGGGUCUUAUAUGAUUGUGACGUUCUAUUAUACUAUUAUGCUUACAGCCAGUUGCACAUAGAUAUAACCAGUUCACAAGAAUAAAAACAUAACAGGACUAUGGACAAUUGUUAGCCUUUCUGCCCACUAUACAAACAGCACUCUUCAUAUUUAAACACAUACACACAAAAAAUAUUUUAUUUUAAUUUUAAAAGGUAUACAUUAAAAUGGUAGUAUUUGUUAUCAAAUGUUUUAAAUUAUUUUUUAUUUUGUUGGAGAAGGAUCACAAAUAUGACUCAGGUCACAUUUUAUGUGCACCUACUGGUAUGAUAGGUUGUAUAUCCAUUUCUGGCUUACAUGAUUUCAACUAUGUAUCAUUUUGUUUAAAUGUAUAAUCUCUGAAUGACCAGGAACUUUCUCUUAUGGCAAUGACAGCUAAAAAUCAACACAAUUAAGAAAUUCCAUUUCAUUCUUCAUAGCCUUCCUACCCCAUCUGCCCACAGAUAAAUACCAAUAUUUUAUAUCAGACUUUUUUUUACCAUAAAAGUGUUAUAAAUAUUUUGUUUUCUUUUUGCAGUAGCCCUAACAAGUUAGGCAGCAUACUUCAAAAAGUAUCGGAGAUAAUGGAUAAGUCAAGCCAAGGGGAAGAGGGUCAUAUAAGGGGCAGAGAGAUUUAUUACUCUUGGCUUAACACAUAGAAAAACAAAAUAAAAUUACUAAAUAUGAUAAUAUCUAGGGGUAAUAUCAUCAUCCAUUGGACAGGAUUAAAAACUCAGUCCAUUCUAAUAUCACCUCACACCUGUCAAAACAGCUAAAAACAAAAUCACAGGAAACAACAGGCAUUGGCAAGGAUGUGCAGAAAAAGGAACCCUUGUGUACUGUUGCAGGGAAUACAAACUGGUGCAGCCACUGUGGAAAACACUACAGAGGUUUCCUAAAAAAUUAAAAAUAGAACCACCCAAAGACCCAAAAAAAUCACAUUACCCAGUAUUUAUCCAUAGAAUGCAAAAACAGUAACUCAAAGGGAUGCAUGCACCCCUAUGUGUAUUUCAGCAUGAUUUUUUUUUCUUUUUUUAAGAUUUUAUUUAUUUCACAGAGAGAGAGAGAUAGAGCACAAGUAGGCAGAGAGGCAGGAUUUUGGGAUCAUGACCUGAGCAGAAGGCUGUCUCUUAACCGACUGGACCAUCCAGGCACCUUUGCAGCAUUAUUGACAACAGUCAAAUUAUGGAAGCAGCACAAGUGUCCAUCAUCAACUGAUGAAUGCAUAAAGAAGAGGUGGUAUAUAUACACAAUGGAAUAUUAUUCAGUCAUAAAAAAAGAAUGAAAUCUUGCCAUGGAGCUAGAGAGUAUAAUGCCCAGCGAAAUAAGUCAGACAAAGAAAAAGAAAUACCAUAUGAUUUCACUCAUAUGUGGAAUAUAAGAAACAAAACAAAUGAGCAAAAGGGGAAAAAGAGAGACAAAGGGAGAGAAAGAGAGAAAGAGAGAGACAAUCCAAGAAACAGAUUCUUUCUCUAGAGAACUGAUGGUUACCAGACGGGAGGUGGGUGGGGCAAGGAGAGAAACAGGGGAUGAGGAUUAAAAAGUACAUAUUGUGAUGGGAGAGGAGUGGGGGUACUCUCAGUCAAUUAAAAACACAUACUUAAAGUCAGAGAAAACAAGAGAGAUGAAUAACACCCCAAAGUAUAGUUAGUGAGAAAAAAGAAUAGGAGCAUUAUACAUUUGCCAGUGAUACUAAUUGCACCCAGUUAAUAAAUAUCAUCAAAGCACAUUAUGAGAAGAUUUUUAAAUCAGGGUAAUUUAUUCAUGGGGCUGGAAGUUGAGAUGGAACUGGAAAGACUCUCCCAGGGAAGGAAUGGCAGGUGAACCAAGUUGUUUAAAAAACAAGAAGGCGUUGAAAAGGAAAUGUGAGUUGUUAUUAGUGCUAAUUACUGCAAGCAGAAAGUAUUAUGAAAAAAAGACUACAAAUUUCUCACUUGAGCCUCAGGCCAUGGGGAGCCAGUGACCCUAUUCAUAGGACACUUAAAAGAAUGACCAGAAUUGAGGAAUUAGGGGCUGGAGACACUGGAAUAAAGAUGCUGGUUAGGAAACAAUGAGAUCAUCCCCAAGUAUAAAUGGAGAAGGAGAACAUGUAAGAAAGAAACUGUCAGUAGCUAGACUCUUUAAACAUCACCCUGAUUUAGUGACUGACCGGAAUAAUCAACACCUCAACACUAUGCGGUGAAUACAAUGUGCCUCCUCCAGUUGUAAGAAGUCAGAUGAUUACUAAGCAGAAAGCAAAAUGUAGUUACUUCAGCCUGGUCUUAAAAAUUACUUUUGGCUCAGAUCUGUGCAGUGUGCAUAAAAACCUUCCUGCCAUUAAGAAAAUUUGAACUUGUUCUUCAUGAUUUCCAUGUUAAGACUGCUGAUUGAGGGAAGCCUGGGUGGCUCAGCGGUUUAAUGCCACCUUCAGCCCAGGAUGUGAUCCUGGGGUCCUAGGAUCAAGUCUCAUGUCCCGCUCCCUGCAUAGAGCCUUCUCCUCCCUCUGCCUGUGUGGCCUCUCUUUCUCUGUGUCUCUCAUGAAUAAAUAAAUAAAAUCUUAAAAAAAAAAAAAAAAGACGACUGAUUGAUAUUGAUUGGUUGGUCAAUUGGGCUGUAUGGUUGAGAGAGAACUAUAAACACAGGAUCCUGUCUGAUAUUUUACCAUCCUGAAGUGUCAUUCUGCUCUGUUGGGAUUUUUUCUAAACCUGGGUUUGGCCACUAUAAUUGACAGACCAUCUUUGUGCAGCAAAAGAGCAUCAGAAACCCAAACAUGAGCAUUCCAAGAGAUCCUCACAGGGAGACCAUCCUAGGCAUGUGGUUAGUAGUAAAAUAUAGUGACUGGGAAUGAGCUUCCUGCACUAUCACUUCCUGGUGCAGAGAGUACACUAAAAUGUCUUUAGUCUUCUUUACUUAUGAUUUGACUGUAUCAAAAAUUGGGGGAGAUGGAAAAAGAUUGUAAUAAGUUCUGAUGCCCUUGAAAAGAAAAAUCAAGGCCUGUCCUAGGGAAAGGAAUUUGAAAACUAAUUCCUAGGUCAUUGAUUAAAUCAUGUUUAAUUGUGUCUGAAGCAUUACAAAGGGCUUGUGAAAUAGAUAACUCACAAAGGACCUACAAGGGAAUCAUAUAAAUUCUACUAUCAUGCUGGCUGAGCCUAAAAAUGAAACCAAGAACUCCACUCC
rnacentral:lncRNA from 1 species